ensembl:lncRNA
CCAAUGUUCAGCUCGUUUGAAUCUAUUUUGUGCUUGCAAAUCCAAUGCUACUGGGAUGUGAUUACCACAUAUCUGUUCAGUCAGAAUCAGAUAUUCCUCUUCCCUGGCAAUACCCCGUGAUCACGCAGAGGGCAACAUGCCCAAUCCAGUGCACCGUUUACCUCAGUCACCCCCGGGACAUCAGCAACCUGCAUGUUUGAAUUCAUCCAGCCGGCCCCCUCUACCUGCAGAUCCCCACUCCAUCCCAUCAUUUCCAGGGUGUCACGGUGUGGACAUCCCCUCUCCAUGAGAUUGAAGGCAUUAUAUUAUCAUGAAUCGUAUGGAGCUGCUUUUGUUUUUAGUUUUUGGCUUUGCUUACAGUUGGUUUAACAACUGAUUGUUCCUCUGUUGGCUGUUUUUCCCAUGAAGAAUUGUUUUAGGAAAUUUCAUAAACUUUAUUUAACGUAAUGAACGUAAUUAAAUCGUUUUGGGGAUUGAGUGAUAUAAUGUACCUCCAAGAUAUCAUUUGGCUUUUUCUUUUAAGUAUUAUACUUAUUUAUUUACAUUUCCAACCCAUGUUAAGAUUUUGAAUCUUGUAAUGUACACUAAUGUAGAUUGAAUCUUGUAAUGUACACUUGAAGUAUUUGUGUACAUGUUUUGGUCAAUUUGUUAUAUUUUUUAUACUCUUUUCCCAUGAACAGUGAAGUAUUGCAGUUUGGCUGAACAAAGUACCACUGAUGCAUGAUCAAUGUGUCUUCUUCAAACAAUAAAAUUCUGUUCAUAUUCUGAAAUGCAUGAGCUUACUUUAUUUUGGUUUUACUACGGUUUCAAUCAUUAGAAUUGCAAGAAUUACUGAUAAUAUUGCUUCAUAGAUUCAAACCAUUGUAUUAUAUCGGACUAGGAAAACUAGGUCAGUAUUAUUGUAAACUGUCUAGGGAUAGCAUAUAUAGCUGUGUCACAUAUUUCAGUUGCUGUAUAUCCUACUAUAAAGAUUGUGCCACUGUGGAUGUUGGGGUUGUGAUAGAAAAUAAUGAAGGUUAAAAAGGAUAUUUGCCAAAUGUAAGAAAAAAUAGUGGAGAGGAAUGUGCCAGCAGGGGGAAGAGGGGGGGGGGGGGACCCCUAGAACAGGGGGACCCUGUUCUACUGCUAUUCACCACCGGGGGUCCGGAGUGGACCGGCAAACGGAGACGACUCAGAUAAGACAUCCCUUUGUGGUCAAUGAUCCGUCCAUUUCUCAGUUCACUUAGAGAAUAAGUAUAAGUAAGGUUGACUUUACGUAUGAAUUAUACAAGAAUAUAAGGUCAAUAUAUUUACAAUGGAGCCAAAUGUUAAACACUUGAUAGUAGCUUU